GCACAGAUGCACGAGUUGUCACGCGAAGAGGGCCCGCCACACCAAAGCGGGUGGGAUCAAGCCACAGGAAACAGGAGUAACAUAUAAUAACAUUGUGUCACCCCGACAACCCCAAAAACCUUUUCAUGUAGCCUGAUGCAGGACUGGAUAGCAGUCGGUUCUGACAAUUGCUUUCAAAAGAUGUGGCUUUUAAAUAAUGGGUGAUUUCCUGUAAAUAUACACUCGCUGCCGCUUAUUAGUUACACCUCGCUAGUACUGGUUUGGACCCCUUUGAGCCUUCAGAGCUGCCUGACCUGAUGAUAAAAUCAGGAUGAAUCCAUGCUUUCAUGUUGCGUACUUUUUAAAUCUGACCCUACCACCUGAAGUCUGCAGCAGAAAUCAAGAGUCAAGAGCCAAGCAGUGUUUUUCUGAUCUUCUAUUAUCCAAUAUUGGUGAAUCUAGCUGAACUGUAACCUCGGUUUCCUGUUCUUAUGUGACAGAAGUCACCCAGUAUGGUCUUCUACUGCUGUAGGCCAUCUGCUUCAAGGUCUUCUUUUUAUUGUGUAUUUAGUUAUGCUCUUCUGCAUACCUUGGUUUUAACAAGUGGUCAUUUAGAUACUUUUUCCUUCCUAUCAACUCAAAUCAACCUGGCCCUCCUUUGACAUCAAACCAUUUCCAGUGAUAUUUUUUCUUUUCCAGGUGAAACAGUAAACCCUGGAGAUGGCCGUGUGGGAAAACCCCAGAAGAUUAUCAGUUUCUUAAAUACUUGUGUGGCACCAACAACCAUGCCACAUUUAAAGUCAUUUAAAUUAAAUUUCUUCCACAUUCUGAUGCAUACUUUAAACUUUCAACUAUGUCUACAUGCUAAAUGCAUUGAGUUGCCACCAUCGGCUGAUUAGUUGAAUUGGUGUACCUAAUAAAGCGGCUGAUGAGUAUAAAUAAAACCUGCACAUCUACUUUCAUCUUUUUUUUACAUAAAGAAAGAUCACAGUGCUACAAAUUUGUUUCGGUUGCCUGUUAUUACAGAUGCUUCCAUGAAUUUGAGAAUAAUUUUUAAACCAAAAAGUAUCUUUAAAAAAAGAAGAAGAAAUAGUUUUAAACAGGGAUGUUUUUCUGAAAGGGUUUGUCAGGAGAGUCUACUCUUUCCAGCACUGUACGAGACUUGUUCUCAGUGUGUAAAAACACACACACGCAUGUGUGCUUUUGUCGGGACGAACAGUGUCCAUGCAGAUGGCUGAUUGGUGAGACAAAACCAAAGUAUGGCAGCAAAGCCAGACACAAACCAACGACAGCUCUUAUCCAGAAUUGAAGAGUUUUGCUCUUUAUGCUAACAGGGUAAAUGAAUUACUACAGCAGCAGUAUUUCUGUCGUCAUCGAAACAUCUUUAAUGACAGAUUUUUGACUGAAUCAGAGAUUUUGGUUUGUGUCUGCUUCACUUGUUUGAAGUUCUCUUUUCUUCAGAAUGGUUCACAAACACACAAAUACCCACGAUUCAGUGCUGUUGAGAGACGAAUGGAUUACAGCUUUGCCAAUGACCAGACCAAGAGAAGAGGGCAAGGGGGUGAGGAGACAUGAGGGCGUAUUGUUUUGUGAAUAAAAACAUUUUUGGAUGAUGAUGAAGACACAACAAUGUGGCAUAAACACAUGCACUUUUCGGGACGUAGUCAUAACCCCAGAGGCAAACAGUGAUUGGUGUGUGAUGAGGUGAAGGAGGAGAACACUAACAUUUACUCAUGAGACCAGGGUGGUGUUGACAAUAAUCGGACAGGUGUGUUGGUUCUCAUACCGGCUGUUUGAUUGGUGCAACAAUCUCCCAUGCAAAUCAAGGAGAUGGAAGCGUUCACGUUUAAAGUGGAGAUUCUGCCAUUUGCUGUCUGGUUUUCUGUGGUUACCUACAGGAUUGGGUAAUCCAGGGGGUCCUGUGGCACCUUUAGGGCCUGGCAGAGACAGCCCAGCAGGCCCAGGAAAGCCAGGGGCACCGUUUUCACCAGGGCCACCAGGUGGUGGUAAUUCACCUGGCAGUCCUGGACUUCCAGCAGGACCCGGACCACCGUAACCUGGAAUUCCUGGAGGGAAAACUGGUCCUGGAAUCCCAUCGCGACCUGCCUGACCUUUCUCUCCUGGUAGACCAGACGGUCCUUGUGGACCAGGCCCUCCUGGUCUACCUGGAGCUCCUGAGCUACCUGGGGUACCGGGCACACCGUCAAC